CAGCAGCCCGGUAAUACAGAGGGUGCGAGCGUUAAUCGGAUUUACUGGGCGUAAAGCGUGCGUAGGCGGCUUUUUAAGUCGGAUGUGAAAUCCCUGAGCUUAACUUAGGAAUUGCAUUCGAUACUGGGAAGCUAGAGUAUGGGAGAGGAUGGUAGAAUUCCAGGUGUAGCGGUGAAAUGCGUAGAGAUCUGGAGGAAUACCGAUGGCGAAGGCAGCCAUCUGGCCUAAUACUGACGCUGAGGUACGAAAGCAUGGGGAGCAAACAGGAUUAGAUACCCCGGUAGUCCCUGUCUCUUAUACA
rnacentral:rRNA from 1 species